UCUGACCUAUUGUAAUCCUCUAUCAAGAGGUAGACCAUCAUAGAGAAUAAAAUUCAGUAAUAAAACACAGAUUAAGGCUGUUGUUGUUGAGACAAUUUUUCUGAUAAUUUUGACUUAUAUGUGCUUUACUUCCUUAAUGCCUAGGUUCGGCUGUGCCAGUUUUGCUCUGCAUAACCUAACAUCCCUAUUUUAUUUACUGAGUCAGAUCACUUGGCCAAGACGACUCCAUGCACAGUUACAAUCCUCAUAUCCGAAGUAAAAUGAGCACCAAGAGAGAUCCCACGCCUGGACAGGAGAAAGUGAUUGCUUGCAUUGAGUUGAAAUGAGCAAGGUGGAGGAGAAGCAAGAUUCAGCAGAAGAAACAAGAUUGUCAGCACUGGCAUCUUGGAAGCGACCAAGAAGGGAACACUCUGGGGCUUCAUUUGUGGGCUCGAUUUUAGUGGAAGUGCCAAGUUGUCAGGUGGAGGGGUGCCAUGUGGCGUUGUUGAAUGCUAAAGAUUUUUACAGGAAGUAUAGAGUUAAUUUGUGAGACGCAUUCCAAGGCUCCUAAUGUAAUUGUUCGAGGUUUGGGGCAGCGGUUCUGUUAGAUAUGUACCUGAAUCUGAUGUAGAGUGACAGUUUGCCUGGAAUGAUGAUUGCUGGAUGGGCUUCUUGGUGAGAUUAAAAGUGGGCUUAGCUUGUUAUUUGUGUAGGUUUCAUGUAGUGUCAGAGUUUGAUGGUGAAAAGAGGAGUUGUAGGAGG